AGAGUUUGAUCCUGGCUCAGGACGAACGCUGGCGGCGUGCUUAACACAUGCAAGUCGAACGAUGAAGCCUAGCUUGCUAGGUGGAUUAGUGGCGAACGGGUGAGUAAUACGUGAGUAACCUACCUUUAACUCUGGGAUAAGCCUGGGAAACUGGGUCUAAUACCGGAUACGACCAAUCUCCGCAUGGGGUGUUGGUGGAAAGCGUUAUGUAGUGGUUAUAGAUGGGCUCACGGCCUAUCAGCUUGUUGGUGAGGUAACGGCUCACCAAGGCGACGACGGGUAGCCGGCCUGAGAGGGUGACCGGCCACACUGGGACUGAGACACGGCCCAGACUCCUACGGGAGGCAGCAGUGGGGAAUAUUGCACAAUGGGCGCAAGCCUGAUGCAGCGACGCCGCGUGAGGGAUGACGGCCUUCGGGUUGUAAACCUCUGUUAGCAGGGAAGAAGAGAAAUUGACGGUACCUGCAGAGAAAGCGCCGGCUAACUACGUGCCAGCAGCCGCGGU
rnacentral:rRNA from 1 species